AUUGAACGCUGGCGGCAUGCCUUACACAUGCAAGUCGAACGGCAGCACGGGAGCAAUCCUGGUGGCGAGUGGCGAACGGGUGAGUAAUAUAUCGGAACGUGCCCAGUCGUGGGGGAUAACGCAGCGAAAGCUGUGCUAAUACCGCAUACGAUCUAUGGAUGAAAGCGGGGGAUCGCAAGACCUCGCGCGCUUGGAGCGGGCGAUAUCAGAUUAGCUAGUUGGUGGGGUAAAGGCCACCCAAGGCGACGAUCUGUAGCUGGUCUGAGAGGACGACCAGCCACACGGGAACUGAGACACGGUCCAGACUCCUACGGGAGGCAGCAGUGGGGAAUUUUGGACAAUGGGCGCAAGCCUGAUCCAGCAAUGCCGCGUGCAGGAUGAAGGCCUUCGGGUUGUAAACUGCUUUUGUACGGAACGAAACGGUCCUUUCUAAUACAGAGGGCUAAUGACGGUACCGUAAGAAUAAGCACCGGCUAACUACGUGCCAGCCGCCGCGGUAA
rnacentral:rRNA from 1 species